GGCUAGGACCACGCAACAGAGACCUGUGAACUCCGUCAGGACCGGAAGGUAGCAGCGGUAACGGGAUCCUCUGUGUGCCGUGCCAUCCUGGCUGGA
rnacentral:SRP_RNA from 1 species